UACAGAGGGUGCAAGCGUUGUUCGGAAUCAUUGGGCGUAAAGGGCGCGUAGGCGGUCCCGCAAGUCGAAUGUGAAAGCCCAGGGCUCAACCUUGGAAGUGCAUCCGAAACUGCGGGACUCGAAUCUCGGAGAGGGUGGUGGAAUUCCCAGUGUAGAGGUGAAAUUCGUAGAUAUUGGGAGGAACACCGGUGGCGAAGGCGACCACCUGGACGAAGAUUGACGCUGAGGCGCGAAAGCGUGGGGAGCAAACAGG
rnacentral:rRNA from 1 species